GCAAAGGGAGCAAGGGAUCACAGGAAGGCAUGAGUGAUAAUUAAAUUAAUUGAUUGCUCCUGCUGUUAGGCACUCAUCCAACCUGUGAAUUAGCAAUUAACUGAGUGAGAAAACCAUUCCUGGCAAGAGAUAUCAGCAUCCCAAAUACCAGAGGUGCUUAUCAACUGCAAAUGAACAGCCUGUAUCUCUUCUCCUCUGCUCUGAGGGGUGCCUUGACCUACUCAGGGCCUUGUAAUUCAUGGUACCCAUUUUUCAUCCCUCUCAGUUUCCUAAAUAUCUCCUUUAUUACAUUGUCAGCAGGGAGGGAUGAGGUUUGCACUGUGUUCUUGUACUGGGAAGGAGCUGGAGAAGCAGAGGAGGGUAAUGGGGCUGGAGGACAUGCCAAUCUGCACCGAGCAGCCCAGGACGAGGACACCCCACACUGCAAACCCUCUUGGCUUAACAUGAAAGGAACCAAGAAUGAAAGAGCAAGGCCUGGGGAAGUGCUUUCAAGAAGAUCUGUCCCUUGGGAUGAUUCCCCAAGCCGUCCAAAUCACUCGUGGUCUGAAAAUAUGGUGCAUUAAGAUCUGAAAGCCCAUCCUGGUGUUUCCAGACCUGGACAGAAUUGCUUUUGGAAAAGCCUCUUUCUACUCCCUACGCAACCUGGAAAUCAGAGGCAAUUACAACUUAAUGGGAACAUUUCAGUCCCACUCAAGGGCUUUGGGUCUGCACCAGCACUGUCCCUCAGUGCUGGGAUACCCCGAUGCCUCCCACCACUGAGAUGCAGCAGGAGCAGCACAAAAACAACGCCUCUGUUUGUUCCAGCAAUCACCGACCGUCCAGUGAGUGCUGCUGCAGAGGCAGCAUGAAGUUUGCUCUCCCCUCUCCAUGUUAGGAGCUUUCUUCCCCUCCCAGCAAGGAUGGCAAGAGGAGGCAAGGCUAAUUGGGAAGGCACAGCUCUGACGGCCCCAGAGCAGCCUCCAAUUAACAUCAGCACCAGGGCGGUGUUGGGCUUCUGCUAUUAAAAGGAGAGACCACGAGCCUCAUCAGGGCGAUAUGAUGGGACAGGGAUGGCUCUUAGGCAGGCAUAAGUGCAGAUUAAUGCAAGGAGACUCCUGCAGCUGCAUGAAUGGUGCUGCCAAGCAGGAGCCGUAUGCAUGUGAUCUUCUGCAGCGGUGAAAGGGUGUGGGACAGAAAAUGUGAUGUUUUCUGCAUGAAGCAAGAUGUUUCUUUCACCAGAAGUAGUAUCUGGGUGGACAGAAACUCAUCUGUGUGCUAGGAAUGGCUCUGGGGGCUUUCCAAGUGCCUUCACUUCAUCCCCUGUUCCCAGCACAUCGUUGGCAGUGACAGCUCAGUCACCCGUGCUGGGAGAUGAGUUGCAAGGUCCCCGUGUCCUUGCUCAGCUGGGGGCUGUAGACCUGUGUUGCACCUCCAACAGCAGGGCAGGCUUCCUCUUCAUUCCCUGUCCCCAAGAUGGGGACGUCAGCCCUCUUCCCCUUCAUGAGUGCAUGCCCAGGAGCAUCUCCUUAUACAAUCUCGCUCUCCAAAAUUUGAGAUGAAGGAUUCUUCCCUUUUUGGCUGACACAUACCACAGAGCACCUCAACAAGCUCUGCACCCAGGGACAUUUUGUCACUUGUGUCUCCGUGUCUCUACCCCCCAUCCCUUACCCACCCUGUCCCAGCGGUGCUGCACAGCUUACUUGUGGUGUUGUACCGCACACCGUAGAAAUAUUCGGGGCAAGGACGAGCCACCAGCUGUCCCACUGCGCUCCGGGGCCAGCACGUGCCAAUCAGGUCUACGGAGGCGUUGCACUGGGGCCCUGGUGGGGAGAAGGGUUGAAGGUUAGUGGAGGUCUCCAGGCCAUUGAAGGUUCAGGGUUUGCCCAGGGAACUGGGGCUUUGGUCCCAGUUGAGCUGAUGGGUUGCUGCAAGCUCAGCUCUGAGGGAAGCUUCAAGGCAGACGCCAAAUGCUGUCUGUGCUGAGGCUCCCCAGGGGCUGACUGAUCCAUCCUUUCUGUAUCUAUUGCCCAGGUUCUGCCUCAGCACCCAAGUUAAGCCUGGUUCUGCACAAGGCUGCUUUUCUGACCCAGCUUUCCACCUGAGGUCCCCUGCUCUGAUCCUCCAGCCUUUCUUCUUUCUUCAGCCAUGACUUUGGCAUCUGGCCCUGCUACAGCCAUAUUUUUACUGUCCCUGUGAUAACUCCAUCCUGGUGCUGGUGGGACACUCCUCAGAGCUCCUUCAAGCCUCUCACAUCUCCUGGCUCCAACAUCUCCUUCCUGCCCAUCCCUGCUGGUCUAUUCCUGCCUUUCCCAAGAAGAAAGCUCCAAGUCUGCCGCUGCUAUUUCAGAUUUCAAGCAGGACUUGUGUGCUUUUCCCAGCUACACAAGUGUGUUAAUGUAGACAUUAGGUAGGCCAGAUUGCAGGCUUUUUUAUGUAUAAUUUGUGUAUAUUUAGAACAACAUGUACUGUAGCUAAAUAUGUCCUAGCUACAUCUCAAAGUGAGGUAGGAGGCACAACGGCUGUGAUAUCAAUACAAUGCGAUCCCUAGCAGGCAGCAGAUGGAUGAUAGGCAGCAGACCCAGGAAGGGGCAGAGUUCAGUGCAAACCGCUCCUGGGUAAUGGAGAUGUUUGUGCUGCCAGCACAGAGCCAGACAUUGCCAUUUGCAAAGGCAAACUCCCCCCAAUUUGCAGCUCAUCGGGUGUGAGAACAAAGCAGUUUCCUCUCCACUAGGACUUGACACAGAGCAGGUCGCUAUUUGGAAGCCUUUCCCAAGACAUCUUACGGGUAGAGCUGCGUAAAAAACCAGCAGAACAGAAAAGCAAAGCGUUACUUUAUUAGCAUGAUGAAA